rfam:Tropicibacter litoreus R37 strain CECT 7639 genome assembly, contig: 0001
UGCGCAGGGCGUGUUUCAUCACGAUGUUGGGGAACGAUACCCCCUUAAGCCGCGCGGUUCGGAUGUAUUGCGCCGUCAUGACCUCGGUCAUCGAGGCUCGCGUCAUCCGGGCGAUAUAGCCCAUGCCAUAAAGCGAAAUGGUCAGCACCGGCAGGAAGAAGUUCUCGAAUGUCGGAUUG